CAACUGUGCUGUCCAUAGAUAGUAACUUUCUCAAUAGAUAAAUAACUUUUUGUUAUGUAAAUAGGAACAAACAAUAAUUGAAAAACGAUAUAUUUACGUGACAAACUCACAGACAAAAAAAAAAUCUCUACACGUACUUGGGUGUAACUUGAUCGAUAGAAGAGAUUCUUAGUUCUCACCAGUUAUAAGAAAACGAACUGAAUC